GCCGCAGUUGUGUCUGUGAGCUUGAGCCCAGGCUUUUUACUUUUAUCCGUGUUCUGGCGUCCAGUACCCUUUGUAAGGACGAUUUCUACCGACGGGUAUGGGCGAUUGUAGUGACGAAGGGAUACGCAUUGAAUGCAGAGGAAUGUGCAGCGGGGCUGGUCGCCGCGAUCAAUGAAUUUCCAGCCCAUGUGUAGCUAAAAUCGCUGCCAUCUUUCGUAAGUUAGGGCUUUGACUUGCAGGGGAGUGAGAGUGUCCAUAUUUGCGAGACUAUUGAUGUUCUUUUUCCAGAAGCGCUCCCCAGCAUUAGAGAGCGACAGAAAGGAGUGCGACGAUUCCCACUUGCAUCGCUUCAUGGUGCUUGCGAUCUUGGGCGUUUGGACGAACAUUCACAAAUCCAGCUGGUAAAGGAGUGCACAUGAUAAGACUACGUAACUUGGGCAAUUACCCAGAUACCGUAAGCUCAAGAUCAACAGAGUGGGAUCGCAUCACAGCACAAGCUCCCAGUUAUCGUUCCGUAACUGAAGAGCGCUGAAGUGCUUUUCACAAUGUAAAUGAUUUUCGUGACCGAGUUUUAUCGACUUCGUGGGUUUUGGCAGCUGUACAGGCAGAUUCUCAAGGCAGAAUGUGAAUCCACAAGUUUUGUCUGCAGUUGAUGAUUUGAAGAUGUCAAUGCUAGACCUCUGCAACAGGUCACUUUCGACACAUGAAACUCAAUUGAAUUCUUAGAACACCUUUGUGUUUGAAGCACUGCAAAAGUUGAGUCAUAGGACGUGAUUACGAGGAAGUAAACGAGAAGCAUUGGAUUUGCUGGCAGUAGUCAGAGCAUGAUCAUGGUCUCUACCUCAGCUUGUGCAUCCUUUUAGGGUUGUUCGCUGUAGAAUUACUAGGAGCAUAUUUACAGCAUGCCUCAAGUACAUGCCCGCUCAGUACGGGAGAAUUGAGACAUGACUAGCUUGGGAAAAGAUCAUUGUGAAUCUCAGACGUACAUAUAAGGAGAUGCCGUAACGCUGUAACACAAGCCGAUACGAGGAUGGAAGAGGUUGAGGUGACACCUAUGGAAGAGGUUGAGGUGCUGGGAGUUGUUCGGCAUUCGUUUGAACGUGAUUUAGAUGACUGUAGUGGUCGAGAAAAUGUGAAUCACGAACUCUCCCCGGAAUGUACUGCUAGUACAAGCGGACGAGAAAGAAUUAAUAGCUCUAACUGGACUAGCGAUAAUGAAGCAGCCAGUGGAAGGGACGAAUCUUCACGGAUGCAUAGCUUCCGAAAAAGAGCCGGGAAGGACGAUGCUGUGAGCCCAAAGAAAGAUCGUGUGGAUUUGGGGAGAUCUUUUCAGAUGGCUGUUAGUGUUCACGACUGGGCUCUAGCUGAGAGUCUCAUAACUCUAGCAGAUCCUCCAAGGCUCAACGAUGGCUUAUGCAUCGCCCUGGAUUCCAUUUGGUUCUUAAGUACAACACAGGAACUGGCGGCUGCAACACGUUUAAUUGAGAGUUUGAUUCUUGCUGGGGCUCACGACUUCACACGUGCAGCUCUCCGUACUUCCUUCUUAGCUUCCUGCGUAUCAGCGUGUCGAUCACGGACUAUGAGCCUGGCGGACACUGUUACAGUAAUGGCACAAAGGUUAGGAGAGAGACUUCAGGAAUGUAAUGGUGAUGAAAUUCUGAAGGCUGAAGCUGCAGCGAAAGUUCAGAGAUUUACUGAAUGGGCUUUAAAAUGUAUUGGUUCACAUUCACGUGAGGCAGGAGCACACCCUGGAUCCUCUGGGGACAUAGGCAUGACUAUUAUACACAGCUCGGCUGUAGAGUCACGCCUUCAGCUUAUGGCUUUCAAUAGGUUUUUGGAACUAGCAGGUUCCCGACUAACCAAAAAGGAUUACACAGAAGCCUUCGAUGCAGCAUGUUUUCCUCUCACUUUGUUCUCCAGCGCUAUUGAUCCUGGAUGGGCAACUGGCAUAGCAGCAAGUGCCAUGCAAGGGCUGCUGGGGCUUUUGGUAGAGGGAGGUGCAGAUAAUGUUAAUCAGUGUUUUCUCGAAGCUGCCAGAUUUGGAAGUACAGAACUUGUUCGAAUAUUGCUCCAGAUUGCACAGCGGGAUGGUGUAGAGUUAGAUGUGGACUUAGCAUUGGGGUUUGCCUCCCACUAUUGUAAAAUUGGCACCAUGGAAUGCCUGGUUGAGGAUGGCAAAGCAGAUUCUUUUUUGGGGCCUCUCAUGAGAGCUGCUGAAAGGGGCUGCAUGGAGGUUGUUCAAUGGUUUGUAGAAAGGGGUUGUAAAGAUAUGGAGCUCUGUUUGGCGCUAACUGCUGCAGCUUCCAGUAGCCGUGUGGACGUUGCUGCAUUCCUCUUGAGCCAUGUUCCUCAUCAUGUCUUGCAGACUCUCAGCGCUGAGAUUUUAAAGGCUGCAGGCGAGCGUUCUGGUGGAUCCCUUAAGGGUAUAGCUUUCCUGUUGCAAGCCGAUUUCUUGAAUAACCCAGAGGCAACAUACAGAAUAGCCGAUAACAUUGCAAAGUCGGAGGACGAAGCAAUUACGUCGGAGCUACGCACAUUUUUACUAGAAGAAUGGUCCGAAGAGGCUUUCUUAAGUGGGCGUUUACUCGGCCAGGCUCAUCAUCUUAACGUCAUGCGUGCUUUAAAGCGGGGUUCCUCACCUCUCCAUUUGCAGGAACUUCCUUUGCAACUGCAAGCGACUGUAGCUUAUCUUCCUCUUUAUAAAGAGUGCAUAGCUUCAAGCGGGGUGGUUCUUUCACAGUGGCUUAGGGGUCAGCUGGUUGAAGCAGCUCUGAGGCUCAAUCAAGUUGGUCUACGGUCGUCAGAAGAGGUCCUCGUGAAGUGUAGCAAGCAUGAGCUUCUUUCAAUCCUUAAGUCUCGAUUGCCGGGGUUCAUGCUAGCAUCCUGAGGUAAGAGAAGGGUAAUUAAAUGGCUCAGUUUUUAAUUAAUACUCGUAAUCAUUUUUGAAUUUUCGAAACGAGCCCCACUUGUUGCCUGUAACUGGAGAGCCUUGGUCUUUGAGAAGCGACUUCAUCAUCCCUUACUUGUUUUUGGACAGCGUAGUUGAUAAGCAUCAGUGUCAUUGGAAGUACGGAAAAUAUGGAUCAAGAUUUAUCAAUUAAAAGUUACUCUUCUCUAGAGGAUGAUAAUGGUGAUUAUAGUCGUUCUAUUCGUUGUCAACUGGGUCCAGCUUUAAAUCAAUACUAUGGUCAUGUGUCGUUGGGAUACCAACGAUCGUAAUUACAAUUACGGUCUCUGUUACAAGCUGCUCGCGGCCCUCCUGAAUGUUUUGAAUCCAUUCACUGGAUCCAUGCUGAUGUGGAGGCCCAUGAAGCCACAUGCAUUGCGGAAGUUGUCAGGGCACUCAACCUAUUUGAAUGCGUUCCAACGUUGUCCCGAGCAUUAGUGGCAAUGCGUUGAUCGGAGGGGACUGGUGAUGGCGGAGGUACAGUUUGGGUUGCAUCUCCCCUCUUUCUGGACGAAGGCUCCCAUUAAAGAUGAACUGGAAAGAUUUUCGUAGUAAUUGUAUGUGGUAGUGCAAUAUUGGGUUGUGUAAGAAAAGCAUACUGAAACUAAAUGUAGAAUCAAUCCAGUUCAACGUGUUUGUGCUCACAAGAAACUGAUAUCAUGAAAUGAAGAUGCAUGACACUAAAGUCUGACCAGUUUACUUCACGAUCAAA